UACGGGGGAGCAAGCGUUGUUCGGAUUUACUGGGCGUAAAGGGCGCGUAGGCGGCGCAACAAGUCACUUGUGAAAUCUCCGGGCUUAACCCGGAGCGGUCAAGUGAUACUGUCGUGCUAGAGUGCGGAAGGGGCUACUGGAAUUCCUGGGUGAUAGCGGUGAAAUGCGCAGACUAUCAGGAAGAACACCCGUGGCGAAGGCGGCUCUCUGGUACGUGACUGGACGCUGAGACGCGAAAGCGUGGGGAGCGAACACGG
rnacentral:rRNA from 1 species